AACGAACGCUGGCGGCAGGCUUAACACAUGCAAGUCGAACGGGUUGUAGCAAUACAGCAGUGGCAGACGGGUGAGUAACACGUGGGAACCUUCCUAGGGGUACGGAACAACUCAGGGAAACUUGAGCUAAUACCGUAUACGUCCGUGAGGAGAAAGAUUUAUCGCCCUUAGACGGGCCCGCGUCGGAUUAGCUAGUUGGUGGGGUAACGGCCUACCAAGGCGACGAUCCGUAGCUGAUCUUAGAGGAUGAUCAGCCACACUGGGACUGAGACACGGCCCAGACUCCUACGGGAGGCAGCAGUGGGGAAUCUUGGACAAUGGGCGCAAGCCUGAUCCAGCCAUGCCGCGUGAGUGAAGAAGGUCUUCGGAUUGUAAAGCUCUUUUACCAGGGACGAUAAUGACGGUACCUGGAGAAUAAGCCCCGGCAAACUUCGUG
rnacentral:rRNA from 1 species